rnacentral:lncRNA from 1 species
UACCUAUCGUUCAUCAGAGAUCUGCACGCCCCUAACGGGUUGGCCAGUACGACAGGAACCUCCUGCACGCAAUGGCAUGCGGCAGAUACACAGGUAUGUAUGUAUGUACGUAGUUAUUAUGCACAAUUCACAUCACAUCCCGAGAGCGGCAAUCUGCAGUAGCGUACGGUCCUUGGCAGCCCCAUCACCCUGUCUCCGCCCGGCAUCUCGAAGCUUCGAAGAUUUGUACACCAGUGCUACUUCUAGUAAGUGCCCUUAAGGUGUACAGAUUUUGAAGCUCCCGUUAUUACUACCUGCUGAGCACUACGUACGUGCCACCCAUGUAGGCUACCGCAACACCUAGCUCGCCACCGGCUUCCCUUGGCAAAUAUAAUGCCAGCUAGCUUCCAGCUAAUAGCAUAUUAAGGGAUGCGCUCCUACAGAAUCCCAUGCAUCCGCUUAUACUGUCUUGCAACGGUGUGCACUUGCCUUGUCUUGCAGCAACGUGCGCCACGCGUCCCAGUAUGGGCCGCCGGCCGGCCAGAUCUGCAUGAGCAAGGUUGAGGAAGUAGCUAGGAGUCCCAAGCAUGCAGACAUGAAGACAGGCAGAGACCUCCUGGACCUCCCCAUUUCGCACGCCAUGCUACAAGCACGAUUUGUGUUGUGAGGACUAGCUACACAUUUCGAGGAAACACGCACUCUUGCAUUUGUGUAUAUGUUACAAGUUACAAGUUCCGCACACAUCCAUAAAAGCCGGGGGGGCCAUGGACGUAUAUGCAUGGACGUAAUGCAUAACAUAUACAUCUACGUGUAUGCAAUCGGCCCAGAAGCCUCCCACUCUUCUGUAACAAUCAAUCACAAUCAA